CCUACGGGAGGCAGCAGUGGGGAAUCUUGCGCAAUGGGCGAAAGCCUGACGCAGCCAUGCCGCGUGUAUGAUGAAGGUCUUAGGAUUGUAAAAUACUUUCACCGGUGAAGAUAAUGACUGUAGCCGGAGAAGAAGCCCCGGCUAACUUCGUGCCAGCAGCCGCGGUAAUACGAAGGGGGCUAGCGUUGCUCGGAAUUACUGGGCGUAAAGGGAGCGUAGGCGGACAUUUAAGUCAGGGGUGAAAUCCCGGAGCUUAACUUCGGAACUGCCUUUGAUACUGGGUGUCUUGAGUGUGAGAGAGGUAUGUGGAACUCCGAGUGUAGAGGUGAAAUUCGUAGAUAUUCGGAAGAACACCAGUGGCGAAGGCGACAUACUGGCUCAUUACUGACGCUGAGGCUCGAAAGCGUGGGGAGCAAACAGGAUUAGAUACCCUGGUAGUCCACGCCGUAAACGAUGAUUGCUAGUUGUCGGGAAGCUUGCUUCUCGGUGACGCAGCUAACGCAUUAAGCAAUCCGCCUGGGGAGUACGGUCGCAAGAUUAAAACUCAAAGNGAAUUGACGNGAGAGACGCGACGAGACACGAGGAGGGAGAG
rnacentral:rRNA from 1 species